CAUAGGCCUGACUGACCGGCAUGUCCCUAGGACUCUUGCUGUGCUUUGGUGGGAGCUGAUUGUUGUGAUAGCAUAAGGGAAGCCCACCAGGUCUUGGAGUGUGGGGUUUGUAUUUGCCAUGUGAGCGUCAUCAACGGGGGAAGGCCCUGAGGUGGCAGCCUUCCAUGGGCUUAUGAGCCAUCUUUACUAGUUUUGAACUGUUCCCUUCCCCCCACCCCCAACUGUAGGCAACAGUAGCAUAGUCCCUCCCUCUUGCCCCUCCCCCUCCCUUAGCUUCACCCCCCUAGUUUAAUCGUGUUGGGGACUGGGUGGCUAUUCUCAUACUUUACUAUUAUUAGUGGUAUAUUGGUUUUGCUGUUGGUGGUUAAAAGGAGCACCAGGGGGCUGGAGAGACUUCUGGUCUUGGCAAGGGGGCCGGGAGAAGGAAACAUGGCACACGUGGUAAUCACUGUUCCCUCUAACAAGGAUUCUGAGAUGUUGUUGACUACAACUCCCAGAAUCCCCAGCUGCAGUGGCUUUUGCUUGGGAGUAUGGGAGCAGUAGUCAACAAUAUCUGGAAAUCCCUGUUAGAAGGAACACUGGUGGUAAUAUUAAGGCACAUUUGUUACAUGAAGUUUUGGGUCACCUGGAUGCACUGGAGAAGAAGGAAGACUCUCAGAAAACCUCUCAGCAUCCCACCGAACAACCUUAUCACCCCACUGAUGGAGCAGGUGCAGUCCUGCCAAACGUGGCUGAUGAGGAUCUGGGCCCAGCAGAAAUCUAUUUGUGACAAAGUAAGAACAAUAUCAGGAUGACACCCCCAGCAGGAGAAGAAAUUUCCUGAUGUCCAUGUAAAGUCCAGUCCAGUCUAAAUGGCCAAGAUACAGGUGAAGAAGCAAGCCAUGAGGCAGAGUCAAACACUGUUAGCUUCCAGGGUGCAGGAACAGUAGCCUGAAUCAACUUUAAGAGCCUGGCUGGGAGUUCUUGCAAGACUUGAGGGUGUCUGCCUUCCCACUGACGAGCUUCAAAAAGAGGUUUCAGCACUACCUGAGGGAACCAGUUUCUGGGAUCAUUUUUCCAAGACAACGAUAACUUCCAUCCCAGCCUCUACAAAAGGCUGUAUGCCUGUGGAGACUUGAAUAAAAUUUAUAUUUUAUACAUCCAAAUAAAAGGUUUAUAUGA